AGACUUACCUGGCAGGGGAGACACCAGGGCGAGGCUUGUCCGUUGCACUGCGGGUGUGCUGACCCCUGCGAUUUCCCUAAAUGCAGAAACUCAACUGCAUAAUUUGUGGUAGUGGGGGACUGCAUGCCUGCCCUCCCCUG
rnacentral:snRNA from 1 species